rnacentral:rRNA from 1 species
GUAGGGAAUAUUGCGCAAUGGACGAAAGUCUGACGCAGCGACGCCGCGUGAGUGAUGAAGGCCUUAGGGUCGUAAAGCUCUGUUGAAUGGGAAGAAAAAAAUGACGGUACCAUUCGAGGAAGGACCGGCUAACUUCGUGCCAGCAGCCGCGGUAAUACGAGGGGUCCUAGCGUUGUUCGGAAUCAUUGGGCGUAAAGGGUGUGUAGGUGGCUAUGUAAGUCAGGUGUGAAAGCCCCGGGCUCAACCCGGGAAGUACACUUGAUACUGCGUGGCUUGAGUACCGAAGAGGGUAGUGGAAUUCCAGGUGUAGUGGUGAAAUACGUAGAUAUCUGGAGGAACACCGGUGGCGAAGGCGGCUACCUGGUCGAGUACUGACACUGAGACACGAAAGCAUGGGGAUCAAACAGGAUUAGAAACCCCUGUAGUCC